UAGGAAAGAUGAGGACAGUAGUAAUAUUGCCCUAUAGGUGGUUUGACAUAUAAGCUAAUCUGGUUCCCUAAGCAGCAGGCUUUACCUGAUAUUACAUCCUCAUAACUCCACAGAUUUCAAAGCCUUGUUAACAUUCUCAAUCUUCGAUGGAGUUGCGGCUGUAGGUGGCAAUAUUGGCAAGCUCAGACACAGUAUAUAUGUUCCCUCAUCUCAAAUUCAAUCUAUAUUCACAAAGGAGAUAGGUGCCUUGUCAUGUUUGGAGAGUCAGGUAUUUCCAUAUAUAAAGAAGUUUUAACAGAAUGAAAAACAAGAGCAGAAGCUGUGAACUGGGUUGGGAAAAGCCAAUAGCUAACACUUUUUUCUCCCCAGUUUCUGAUUCUAUUUUGGAAUCUCCAAGAAUCUGAAGAAAAGCCAGGUAAUUUAAAACAGAUAACAAUAGUUUAUUUCUGUAGGCAUAGGUAAAAAUAAUUAGCAGGAUUCCGUAUUACACUGGUGUUUAUUUUUUUACUCUGUGGUGCCAAUUUUUUCCAUUUCUCUCCUAAUUAUAAAUCUGAGCUUUAUGUCCAAUUUACAUAAAACUCACACAUGUACAAGGUUAUUAAUUAUAUUAAAAUACCUUUUUUUUCUGGAAUAAUUUGACUCCUGUUUCAAAUGCCUUGGGAGAGAAUUUGCAGUAGACCAGUGCUACCGGCCCUGCAAGGUAGGCCAGACUUGAACCCCAAAGUCAUGUAUAGUAAAGCCGCUUUUAUUACAGGGUUUCCAUAAUAGAACCUUGCAACUGUGCAUGUGCCUCUCCCUACCAUGCCUUUAUCCUAAAGAGGAGGGUCCAGUCUAAGCGCCUUUCCCAAAUUCCAUUCCUGCUCUGGACUCUUAUUUGACCAUUGCCUUGGUUGCAGCUCUUCCUCCUCUUCCUCAAGGUUAUUCCCACGGCCCAUUACAAGCACCACCUUGUGAGUCCAGAGCAUUGCAUUAUCUAUUUUGUAGUUUCUCUUUACUCACCCCACCUACUCGCAUUUAACUAUGUAAACAGGGAUUUCUGUAAACAGGGAUUCUUGCAUUUUAAAAGUUUGAUUUUGCUCAUGACUUGUGAAAUUGGUUUAUUUCCCAAAGGAAGAGUUAAAUUGUCUAGUCGCCAGAGUUUGCAUCAGAGCCUUUUUUUUCGUCAGUACCUUUUAAUUGCCAACUGGACAGCUCAGGUUGUGAGAGUCAGAUCUUUCACCCAUAGCAAGAUAAGGGAGAGGAUGUCAGGAAAGUCACCGAUCAGUGGUAUUAACCAACCCACAGCAGGAGCCAAAACAAGGAGUGGAUAUUCAAAGGGUUUCCAAAGCUGAGCCAACCUGCUACAUACAGAAUCUAACGAAAUCGUUCUGCUGUCAGAACAAUACAGUAGUAAAAUAUCCUCUUAAGUUUCCCCCUCUAUCAAAAUCAGUUCUAAAGAGUUGGAGUAUUCUCUGGAACACCAAGAAUAAUAGUGGGAGAAAAAUCUCAUUGUACAGUUAUUUCGUCCCAUUAUUCUA